ACKGCUCAGUAACACGUGGCUAACCCACCCUCGGGACGGAGACAACCCCGGGAAACUGGGACCAAUCCCCGAUAGGCGAGGACUCCUGGAACGGGUCCUCACCCAAAGGGUGUUGGGAUCAUGCUUCUCAACAUUGCCCGAGGACGGGGCCGCGACCGAUCAGGUAGUUGGCGAGGCAAUGGCUCACCAAGCCUAUAACCGGUACGGGCCGUGGGAGCGGAAGCCCGGAGAUGGGCACUGAGACAAGGGCCCAGGCCCUACGGGGCGCAGCAGUCGCGCAAACUCUGCAAUGCACGAAAGUGUGACAGGGCUACCCCGAGUGCCGUCCGCUGAGGAUGGCUUUUCUCCACUGUAAGGAGGCGGAGGAAUAAGGAGAGGGCAAGUCUGGUGUCAGCCGCCGCGGUAAUACCAGCUCUCCGAGUGGUAGGGACGAUUAUUGGGCUUAAAGCGUCCGUAGCCGGCCUCUCAAGUCUUUCGUUAAAUCCAGCGAUUCAAUCGUUGGACUGCGGGAGAUACUGUUAGGCUAGGGGGCGGGAGAAGCCGACGGUAUUUUCGGGGUAGGGGUAAAAUCCUAUAAUCCCGGGAAGACCACCAGUGGCGUAGGCGGUCGGCUAGCACGCGCUCGACGGUGAGGGACGAAAGCUGGGGGAGCGAACCGGAUUAGAUACCCGGGUAGUCCCAGCUGUAAACGAUGCGGGCUAGGUGUUGGAGCGGCUACGAGCCGCUUCAGUGCCGCAGGGAAGCCAUUAAGCUAGCCGCCUGGGGAGUACGGCCGCAAGGCUGAAACUUAAAGGAAUUGGCGGGGGAGCAC
rnacentral:rRNA from 1 species